CUACGGGGGGCAGCAGUGAGGAAUUUUGCGCAAUGGGGGGAACCCUGACGCAGCAACGCCGCGUGAGUGAUGAAGGCUUUCGGGUCGUAAAGCUCUGUCAAGUGGGAAGAACCUAUGCAGUGUUAAUAUCACUGUAUACUGACGGUACCACUGAAGGAAGCACCGGCUAACUCCGUGCCAGCAGCCGCGGUAAUACGGGGGGUGCAAGCGUUAUUCGGAAUCAUUGGGCGUAAAGGGCACGUAGGCGGCUUGGUAAGUCAGAGGUGAAAGCCCGGGGCUUAACCCCGGAAGUGCAUUUGGUACUGUAAGGCUUGAGUAUGGGAGAGGGAAGUGGAAUUCCUGGUGUAGAGGUGAAAUUCGUAGAUAUCAGGAGGCACACCGGUGGCGAAGGCGACUUCCUGGACCAAUACUGACGCUGAGGUGCGAAGGCGUGGGUAGCAAACAGGAUUAGAUACCCGGGUAGUC
rnacentral:rRNA from 1 species